rnacentral:rRNA from 1 species
CACGUAGGAGGCGAGCGUUGUCCGGAAUCAUUGGGCGUAAAGAGCGCGCAGGCGGCUUGGCAAGUCGGGUGUGAAAUCCCGGGGCUCAACCCCGUGACUGCAUUCGAUACUGUCAGGCUAGAGGUAGGUAGGGGAGAUCGGAAUUCCAGGUGUAGCGGUGAAAUGCGUAGAUAUCUGGAGGAACACCGGUGGCGAAGGCGGCAUCCUGGACCGGCAUUGACGCUGAGGAGCGAAAGCCAGGGGAGCAAACGGG